CGAACCCUGUUUAUUUUUGUAUUUUUGUUUAUUUUCGCGAAAAAAUGAUUAGAAUAUGUGCUUGUCAUGUGUUCCUCGUACGUAGUCGAUAAAUAUUCUCCGUAGAAGCUUCUGAAGCGUCUGAAGCUUUUAAAACUUUGUGGCUUUUAUCAAACUUAUAAGUUAGAACUUAAUUAUGGGUCCCGAAGACAGGAGCUAUAUUCUAGAAACCUACUGCGGGACAUGCCUCAGUAAGGACCGAAAACUCGUAAAUUGUUCUAAAUUAGUUAAGAAUAUGGAUAUAUACUUUGAAUCGAAAUUAAUGAAUCAUCUGAAUAAGUUCAGCCUUUGCUGGGAAUGUCAUCAGGUUUUACAGAAAGUGUACAAAUUUAAUAAACAAGCUAAGCAAGCCAUGUUAACGCUGGAUUUUUUAUUUAAGAACCGGAGUGAUGGGAAAUCAAUCCAAUUAAAGUCUCUAUCAGUUCUCCACGUGAAUACAAAAGCUGAUAAAAUAAACAUUGCUUCUCAAGUUUUUUUGGACAAUCAUGACAUUGCUGAAACUAGUAUUCCAAAAGAUGAAAAUGUAAAGGAAUCUGCUGUUAGCAAGCCUAAGGGUAAAAAGGUUAAAAGGAGGAGGAAGAGAUCUGCACCAUCAAAUGCAAAGAAAAAUUGUGAUCUCAUACUAAAACCAACUAAAGAGGAUUUGGAGAGUGAAAUACCGUGUUCUGUAUAUUACAAAAAGCCUGCUGAAGAUGAUGAUGAUGAUAAGAGUAAUAAUGAUGACAAUAUUGAUAGUAUUACACGGGAUGAUGAAAUGAUGCCCAUUGAAUUUAUAAAUUGUGAACUGGAUACGGAACUUUUAGAAUUUCCAAAACCUGAACCUGUACCCCAAUUGCCGGAGCCGCCCAAAUUAUUUCCUAAACCUGUUAAACGGGCAGACAUAAUUGAACCCGGUAGUCUGUCACCAGAAAAUGAACAUGCCAAAGUGAGAACUGACCUAAUCAAUUUAGUUGUUAGUAAAGAUAACCCGUUUAGUAUCGCCGAGACUAACAAUAUUGGUGCUGGCUUCAAAAUGUUGAAAGUUCAAAACACAGCGUUCCCUCUCAAAGUCACAUCCGGUCCUUCAAGCCACAACUUGCUCGUGAAGCCAGUUAAUGUUAUAUCAACAUCAAAGUCAGUUGUGGACAACUCUCUCGAUGUUGAGCGGGGUGAUUUGACACCUCACACAGUACAGGCUAGAACGAUAGAUUAUGUCGACAUGUUACAACUAAGAGAGAAAGAGAGACAAAAUGAUAUGUAUCAGGAAGCGACAUAUAAGUGUGAGAAAUGUUUAUUUGGAUACAAGAAUGCAAACUUCUUUAGGAUGCAUAUGAGACAACACGAUGAGGAGUACGGCUCAAUAAAGUGUGAUAUUUGUCAAUUGAGAUUUGACACUAAUGAAUUGUACGACCAGCACAAGAGAACCCAUUUCGUUUCGAAUAUCCAAGAAACAGAGAAAGAGAAGAAUAUUCUUAAGAACAAUGAUGAAGGAAAGAUAAAACAAGAUUUACUAAUGCUACGAUGUAAAUACAAACACUGUGGUAGAAUAUUUGACACCUAUAAGGACUUCAUAGACCAUGAAGCGGAAAAUCAUGAUUGGAUAAAGGAUAGAAAGCCAAAAUUCCGAUUCAAAUGUAGUGUGAAGAACUGUAAUAAGGCGUUCAGAUUCAAAAAUACACUGAAGAUACAUAUAAUGGAGGUUCACGAGAAAAAAAUAUUCCACUGCAAAAAAUGUAAUAGAACUUAUAAAUCGGGCAGCUCGUACAGAUCACAUUUGAUGACGUCGAAAAAUCAUGGGGUCACAGCAAGUUACGAAUGCGAUUACUGUGGAAAGAAAUUUAUCAUCAAAAGCUAUCUAGCUUUGCAUAUAAAUGUAGCGCAUACGAAAAUGACACAGUACCCGUGUGAUUUCUGCGAUGAGAAAUUUUACAGCUAUUAUGUAAAAAACCGCCAUAUGAAGACGAAGCAUCAUAGCACGCCAUUGAAACUUGUUGAAUGCAACAUUUGCGGGAAGACUUAUAAAUCUAAAGCGAUUUUGAGGAAACAUCAGUCUGUUCACACGGGUGAAAAGCCAUACCACUGUCCUUAUUGCGAUUGGAAGUUCACCCAAUGCUCCACGCUCAAGACGCAUUGCAAACUCAAACAUAAAGACAAACCAGUACCUGUUGUGAGGAAAACUGUCAAAACACAAAAUACCACAGAAGCAAAUAUAACAGAAAAUAAUAUAAUGGAUAUACCUAGAGACAGAUGAAGAUUCAGAAUCAAACUCCACAAGCGAUAAUUGAAACUAAUAUCAUAGAUUAAGGAUACUACGUAAAGUCCGUUCAAGAAUGAUCUUCAUAAAAGGUAAACAAAUAUGGCUGCCCAUAUUUUUUAUCUGUGUCAAACGGCAUGCUAGUGAAGUGCUGAAUUGAUUUUAGCUCAAGUUAUUUUAUCAAAAUGAACUGACUCUCUUGGGCUGUUUGAAUUUUUUUGUAUGACAAUAUUAAAAGAUAUAUUUUAUGUUUGUUUGUGGUUACACUAACUCACUUGAAAGUCAUUUUUUCUGCAAGAGUCGGCUUAUUAAGUACAGUACACUCACUUAAGUUAUUCGCGGAACUGACUCGUUUUCCUGACCCCAAUGAAAUGUCCCUUCACUAAUACGUUAAUAGUAAACCACAGAUUAACAAGAAUUUAUGAUGUCAACUUUUUUGUGAGGCUUUGUUUGAUUUUUGUUUUUACGUGAAAAAAUGUGUUUUUAUAAUUAUUUUACGUUAAUUUCGCAUUGAGCUAAGAAAUCAUACAUCUAUUGAGUGCUACGGAUGUUAUUAGAAGAAUACUUUGCGUAGUUAAGGUUAAAUUCGAACAUUCUUUGUAGUAACAGGUUUGUUUACCUUUUAUGAAGAUCAUUCUUGAACGGACUUUAUAGAACGGCAACUCACCGCUCCCCACCACACCCCUCUCGAACACAGUUUAGUCUUGAAUCGUAUGGCGCCAGACGUCACACACACAGAUGCGCGUGUACGAUAACGUCAAUGCGUGGUGUCUGUGUAAAACGAGGUUGUUUGUAUGAAGUGUCCGG
rnacentral:misc_RNA from 1 species